AGGGUAUUAAGUUAAGCAAAAUAAACUAUAUAUUUUCAAAAUAUAAAAUUUUAUACCUUUC
rnacentral:tRNA from 1 species